rnacentral:sRNA from 1 species
AUGGCUGUCGUCAGCUCGUGUCGUGAGAUGUUGGGUUAAGUCCCGUAACGAGCGCAACCCUUGUCCCUAGUUGCCAGCACUUCGGGUGGGAACUCUAGGGAGACUGCCGGUGAUAAACCGGAGGAAGGUGGGGAUGACGUCAAGUCAUCAUGGCCCUUAUGGGGAGGGCUACACACGUGCUACAAUGGCCGGUACAGAGGGCUGCGAAGCCGCGAGGUGGAGCGAAUCUCAGAAAACCGGUCGUAGUCCGGAUUGCAGUCUGCAACUCGACUGCAUGAAGCCGGAAUCGCUAGUAAUCGCGGAUCAGAACGCCGCGGUGAAUACGUUCCCGGGCCUUGUACACACCGCCCGUCACACCAUGGGAGUGGGCUGUACCAGAAGUAGGUAGUCUAACCUUCGGGAGGACGCUUACCACGGUGUGGUUCAUGACUGGGGUGAAGUCGUAACAAGGUAGCCCUAGGGGAACCUGGGGCUGGAUCACCUCCUUUAAAGAAACCGGAAUAAGGCGUGAAAGCGCCCGCACAAUCUGCCUAAUCACCGUAAAGAUAGACCGCGGGUCUGUAGCUCAGUUGGUUAGAGCGCACCCCUGAUAAGGGUGAGGUCGGAAGUUCAAAUCUUCCCAGACCCACCACCUUUGCGCGUAUAGGAGCAAAAAGGUAACAAGGGGCCAUAGCUCAGACGGGAGAGCACCUGCUUUGCAAGCAGGGGGUCGGCGGUUCGAUCCCGCCUGGCUCCACCAGGCGCUAAACCACGGCGGCAAUGUGCCACCGUGGUUUAUCUCCUGGCCGAGGCGCCACGGGACGUUCUUUUACAAUUUGGGUAGUAGUGAUGUACGACGGUGAAGUCGGGACAGCGUUUGACGUCCUGACUUUACUGGGUAUGCCAGCAUUUAUUAUGGUAGUAGUUGUGACCUCACUAAGAACAGUCUUUUUGGGGUUAUAUGAUCAAGCGACUAAGCGCGCAUGGUGGAUGCCUUGGCGGCAAGAGGCGAUGAAGGACGUGGUAGCCUGCGAUAAGCUUCGGGUAGCCGGCAAACAGGCUUUGAUCCGAAGAUUUCCGAAUGGGGAAACCCGG